rnacentral:rRNA from 1 species
GAUGAACGCUAGCGGCAGGCUUAACACAUGCAAGUCGAGGGGUAGAGGAAGCUUGCUUCCUUGAGACCGGCGCACGGGUGCGUAACGCGUAUACAAUCUACCUUUUACAGAGGGAUAGCCCCAGAGAAAUUUGGAUUAAUACCUCAUAGUAUUUUCGGAUCGCAUGAUUUGAUUAUUAAAGUUCCAACGGUAAAGAUGAGUAUGCGUCCCAUUAGCUAGAUGGUAAGGUAACGGCUUACCAUGGCAAUGAUGGGUAGGGGUCCUGAGAGGGAGAUCCCCCACACUGGUACUGAGACACGGACCAGACUCCUACGGGAGGCAGCAGUGAGGAAUAUUGGACAAUGGGCGCAAGCCUGAUCCAGCCAUGCCCGCGUGCAGGAAAUAAGGUCCUUAAUGGAUUGUAAACUGCUUUUAUACAGGAAGAAACACACCCUCGUGAGGGUACUUGACGGUACUGUAUGAAUAAGGACCGGCUAACUCCGUGCCAGCAGCCGACGG